rnacentral:rRNA from 1 species
UCCCAGACUCCUACGGGAGGCAGCAGUGGGGGAUAUUGCACAAUGGGGGGAACCCUGAUGCAGCGACGCCGCGUGAAGGAAGAAGUAUCUCGGUAUGUAAACUUCUAUCAGCAGGGAAGAAAAUGACGGUACCUGACUAAGAAGCCCCGGCUAACUACGUGCCAGCAGCCGCGGUAAUACGUAGGGGGCAAGCGUUAUCCGGAUUUACUGGGUGUAAAGGGAGCGUAGACGGCAAGGCAAGUCUGGAGUGAAAGCCCGUGGCCCAACCACGGGACUGCUUUGGAAACUGUGUUGCUGGAGUGCAGGAGGGGUAAGCGGAAUUCCUAGUGUAGCGGUGAAAUGCGUAGAUAUUAGGAGGAACACCGGUGGCGAAGGCGGCUUACUGGACUGUAACUGACGUCGAGGCUCGAAAGCGUGGGGAGCAAACAGGAUUAGAUACCCGCGUACC